rnacentral:rRNA from 1 species
GUGGGGAAUAUUGGGCAAUGGGCGAAAGCCUGACCCAGCAACGCCGCGUGAAGGAAGAAGGUUUUCGGAUCGUAAACUUCUAUCCUUGGUGAAGAUAAUGACGGUAGCUAAGAAGGAAGCCCCGGCUAACUACGUGCCAGCAGCCGCGGUAAUACGUAGGGGGCAAGCGUUGUCCGGAAUGAUUGGGCGUAAAGGGCGCGUAGGCGGCCCGGUAAGUCUGAAGUGAAAGUCCUGCUUUUAAGGUGGGAAUUGCUUUGGAUACUGUCGGGCUUGAGUGCAGGAGAGGUCAGCGGAAUUCCCGGUGUAGCGGUGAAAUGCGUAGAGAUCGGGAGGAACACCAGUGGCGAAGGCGGCUUACUGGACUGUAACUGACGCUGAGGCGCGAAAGUGUGGGGAGCAAACAGGAUUAGAAACCCUAGUAGUCC